UAGUUGGCCAUUGUAAUGGGACAAGGGCCAAGUCAACAGCUUGGGGAGCAAGUUCGAAAGCAUUUGGAAUCUAUAAAUAUCUUCCCCGUGCAGGAAAAUACUUGCAACCUGAGAGAGAAAUCGGACAUCAUGGAGCAGCAAAAGGUGGUCCUGCAUGGAAUGUGGAUGAGCCCUUAUGUGAAGAGGGUGGAGCUGGCCUUAAAGCUGAAGAACAUCCCUUUUGAUUACGUCGAAGAAGAUUUGACCAACAAAAGCGAGCUGCUUCUCAAGUAUAAUCCUGUGUACAAGAAAGUGCCAGUCCUCGUCCACAACGGCAACCCCAUUUCUGAAUCACUCGUGAUCCUCGAGUACAUCGAUGAAACCUGGAAAAAUGGCCCCAAGUUGCUGCCUGAGGAUCCCUACAAAAGAGCUCAAGCUCGCUUCUGGUCUAAAUUCAUCCAGGAUCAACUAUUCGAGACGGCUAUUGCAAUUCUAAAAAGUGAAGGAGAAGCACAACAAAAGGCGAUAAAGAACAUGGACGAGAAACUGGGUUUGCUGGAAAAGGCGAUGAAGGAGUAUUUCCCAGACGGCAAACCAGAUGUAGACGAGAAGAAUGCAGGAGUGCUUGACAUCAUAUUUUGUACGGUGUUUGGAGCCUACAAGUCGCACGAAGAGGUUCUGGGAAUCAAGUCUCUUGAUGCUGACAAGUUCCCCGUGUUGUUCUCUUGGCUAAUGGCUGUCACUGAGCUCCAGGCGGUGAAAGAGGCAGCCCCCCCUCACGAAAAAGUGGUCCAAUUUCUGCAAUUUGUUCGCCACUCUGCUCUUACUUCUACUUCAGCCUAGUAAUCAUCGCUUCAGAAGCCGGCUUUCUUAUCGCUUUACCAUGAUAUCAAGUAAAACCGUUUCCCAUAUCCGUAUCUCUAGUGAAUUGUGAUCUCUCUUCCUGAUCUGUUGUUUUCAUUAUGUUGUUUUUGUGUGUGUCUGUGUGCAGCAGGUGGCAUAUGUAUGCACGUUUGGAUAUGUAUUUCUGAGUCUGAAUCUCCUCACAACUCUUUCCAACUUUUCAUCCAAAUGGGUCGCAAUCCACUUUCCUUCUGGAUAGUUUCUCUUUCUCCAUUAUUCUCAAAGGAGUCUCUAAUAGCAACGAUCUAAAAUCUGGAUGAAAUUACACGGUCAACCUUCAUGCUUUGGGUUGAACACUCAUAUCUUCGUAGGGACAACUCUGAUUAGCAUGUAUGUUAGAAUGUGGGAACCUGACCUUUACUGGUAAGGUGUUUGAGGAAAUGCGGCAACCAAACGCUGUUACUUGGAAUGCUGUUGUUGUUGCCUGUUUUUGGUAUAGAAAUGUAGUUAUACCACAGACGAGUAAUUUGAGUUAGCUUGAAUUAUAUUUGGGUUGAUUUUACAUGGAUUCAUACAUAAUGCUCUGAUAGAUACAUCUUCAAAAUGUGGAAAUGUAGUCAUGGCUAGGUUUAGUUGGCAGAGCUGGCAAAAUCAUGGCUUGCUGAAUUGGAUCCUAACAAUUCUGGUGAUAAGAUGAGACAUGUUCUCUUCUCGAACAUAUAUGCCAUUGCUGGAAAAUGGAAGGACGUUGCCAACAUAAGAUCAAGGGUUGAACAGAGCAUAAAAAAGCCUCAAUAUUAGAUUAAGUUUAUGAGGUAGGGAUAAUUGUGAGGAAUAGAAGUCUCUUCCACUCAUUCCAAGAUGGGCUUUGCUCUUGUAGAGAUUACUGGAGAUGGAUGGGCGAUUUACCUUGACUGCCACUAUUCCUUGUAUUGGCUGAUGACUGAUGAGCUUGAUUGAAGAAUGUUAAUUCCAAUAAAAGCUUUUGAGGUGUGAAUGAAGUAAAUUAACUAUGAUAA